CUGAAUAUGAGAACCUACGUCCGUCUGUACCCGAUGUUCAAUCCAUUGUUGGUAAUUUGAAGGUUUUAUUUAGGCAUCUGCAGGAGCAACUAAUGCUUACCGAGAACUUUGAAGUUGCCUUGUGCAAACUUGGAUGAUGCAGGAGAAAGUUAAAGAGUCCCAGUAUCAGAUUACCCCAUGGCAAAAUGAAUUGCCAACUAAAACCAGUCUCCCUGCACAGUC